AUUGAACGCUGGCGGCAUGCCUUACACAUGCAAGUCGAACGGCAGCACGGGAGCAAUCCUGGUGGCGAGUGGCGAACGGGUGAGUAAUAUAUCGGAACGUGCCCGGUCGUGGGGGAUAACGUAGCGAAAGCUACGCUAAUACCGCAUACGAUCUACGGAUGAAAGCGGGGGAUCGCAAGACCUCGCGCGAUUGGAGCGGCCGAUAUCAGAUUAGGUAGUUGGUGAGGUAAAGGCUCACCAAGCCGACGAUCUGUAGCUGGUCUGAGAGGACGACCAGCCACACUGGGACUGAGACACGGCCCAGACUCCUACGGGAGGCAGCAGUGGGGAAUUUUGGACAAUGGGCGCAAGCCUGAUCCAGCAAUGCCGCGUGCAGGAUGAAGGCCUUCGGGUUGCGAAACUGCUUUUGUACGGUAACGAAACGGUGAGCUCUAAUACAGUUUGCUAAUGACGGUACCGUAAGAAUAAGCACCGGCUAACUACGUG
rnacentral:rRNA from 1 species